AGGCGCAAAUGCGAGAUUUGGCAGGGUUUGUCGAGACAAAACAACAGCUCUUGUCUCUAAAAUCAAAUCAUCGUAUGAAUUGGAUCGACUUUGCUGUUGCUCAUCAUUUAAACUCAAAGUAUAUUGAGAUGAUUUUUUUGGAGCAAUUUUUGACAACAUUUGUAGUUGAGGCCUUUAGAAUGGAAGAAUGUAUUUUACUAA